GGCAUCCUGCAGGAAUGAAAACUGCCUCUCCAAGUCUUUGCUCGAAUGUCCAAGGUUCAAUCCCUAAAAUGGUAAGCAUCCACAUUUUGAGUUUAUUAAACAAAAUGUGAUCCUUGUUCUUAAGGAAAGAUAACGAACAAGGUAAAUUACUAACCGAAUUCUUCCUUCAGUUUUCUCUUGUGCUCCAUAGUUAGGUAGAAGCUCUGGUCAUGGAUUGGAUGAAAAACCUGAUCAACCGGACAACAGAAAGUGUGCCUAAAUUCCUUUGCAUGCUUUAAAAGAUACUCAUUCAACUUGGGUACGUCUUCCCUUCUGAAAAUGUCCCACAAGGCACCUCCAGUUGUCUCUGAAUCAUCAGAGGUUUUCUCCUCCCCUCUAAUAUCACUAGACAUCUUCAUAGGAUAUUCAUCAGCCUCACAUUUGAGGCGCUCUCUUUCAUCUUGAGUUCUAUGCCUCUGUUUCACUAUUUCAAUUGCAGACUGCUGCUCAUCAGUUAUAGCCAUCUCUGCUGUGUGUGUCAAAAUAUUUAUCUGACCAAUUCAAAAUUUUAAAAUAUUAGCUUGUCAUGAAAUGAGCCUGAAAAAGUAAUGGUUGCAAUCUUAGCAGGUAAUGCAUCAUGGACAGAAUACUGAACUGGGAAAAGCAAUAAACUGCUAUCAAGGUGAGAAUAAACAUAAAACUAGAUUGUGGCAUGUGGUUUAAUUUACCUGGAAUGUGACAAUUGUCAAAAUAUAUUGUAUAG
rnacentral:lncRNA from 1 species